rnacentral:rRNA from 1 species
CAGUCGCCGCGGGAAUACGUAGGGUGCGAGCGUUAAUCGGAAUUACUGGGCGUAAAGCGUGCGCAGGCGGUUAUAUAAGACAGAUGUGAAAUCCCCGGGCUCAAUCUGGGACCUGCAUUUGUGACUGUAUAGCUAGAGUACGGUAGAGGGGGAUGGAAUUCCGCGUGUAGCAGUGAAAUGCGUAGAUAUGCGGAGGAACACCGAUGGCGAAGGCAAUCCCCUGGACCUGUACUGACGCUCAUGCACGAAAGCGUGGGGAGCAAACAGGAUUAGAUACCCGAGUAGUCCCUGUCUCUUAUAC